UACGUAGGGGGCGAGCGUUAUCCGGAAUUAUUGGGCGUAAAGAGCUUGUAGGCGGUUUGUCGCGUCUGCCGUGAAAGCCCAGGGCUUAACCCUGGGUCUGCGGUGGGUACGGGCAGACUAGAGUGUGGUAGGGGAGACUGGAAUUCCUGGUGUAGCGGUGAAAUGCGCAGAUAUCAGGAGGAACACCGAUGGCGAAGGCAGGUCUCUGGGCCACUACUGACGCUGAGAAGCGAAAGCAUGGGGAGCAAACAGG
rnacentral:rRNA from 1 species